CUCUGAUAUCCUCCAUUUUGUUACUGAUUCAGAAGCACCAUGUCGAAGCACCACUUAAACUGUGCUGUUGUUGACUGUAAAGAGGAGCACAAAACACUCCAUCGCGUCCCAGCCGCAGAGGACAGAUGAGCGGCAUGGCUUGAAUUCAUUUUUGAAGGCAAUGUCCCUGCUACAGUUGUCAAAAAAUUGUCGGUUUGUGCUAACCACUUUGAGACGGGCUGUUUCUCCAACUUCGGUCAGUACAAGGCAGGAUUAGCCAAGAAACUUUUGCUAAAAGAGUGCGCAAUUCCAACUUUGCGUGGAAUACUUGCAGACGAGGGACAUUUAGAGUGGGCGUGGGCAAAGGAGCGGCAGGUAAUGAAUAUGCAAUGAGCAGCAGAAAACAAAACUUUGAAAGGGACUGAAACAGAGCGUAAUAGAGGGAGGUAAGAAUCUUUUCCUACAAGCUAUUUCCAGCAAACAACUUCAGAAACAUGUUUUAUGGAACUUAUAGACCUAUUUUAACUUGUUGAAAAGCAGUCAUAAUAUGGGCGCUUU